GAUGAACGCUGGCGGCGUGCCUAAUACAUGCAAGUCGAGCGAACAGACGAGGAGCUUGCUCCUCUGACGUUACCGGCGGACGGGUGAGUAACACGUGGAUAACCUACCUAUAAGACUGGGAUAACUUCGGGAAACCGGAGCUAAUACCGGAUAAUAUAUUGAACCGCAUGGUUCAUUAGUGAAAGACGGUUUUGCUGUCACUUAUAGAUGGAUCCGCGCCGCAUUAGCUAGUUGGUAAGGUAACGGCUUACCAAGGCAACGAUGCGUAGCCGACCUGAGAGGGUGAUCGGCCACACUGGAACUGAGACACGGUCCAGACUCCUACGGGAGGCAGCAGUAGGGAAUCUUCCGCAAUGGGCGAAAGCCUGACGGAGCAACGCCGCGUGAGUGAUGAAGGUCUUCGGAUCGUAAAGCUCUGUUAUUAGGGAAGAACAAAUGUGUAAGUAACUAUGCACGUCUUGACGGUACCUAAUCAGAAAGCCACGGCUAACUACGUG
rnacentral:rRNA from 1 species